CCCCCCGGCGCCCGGUGCGGGGCCGCGCCGCUGCUCGCAGCCCGGGCCGGCAGCGGGGCCGGCAGCGGCAGCCGGCCCUUGCCAUGGCUCUCCUCUUCCUUGGAAGGUUCUAGGUCUGUUAUUAAUGAAGCAGCUCAGAACUGUUGCAGAAAGGAAAGGAUAAUGUGUUCGUAUCUCGCUGAAAGCAGUUCCUACAACAGUAAAAGGGUCACCUGAAUGAAUAGUUUCCAGCAGAAAAAAGUUGACACGCACAGCCUCCCAUUCUGUCCACUAAGUGUCAUGAACAGCUUGUGCUUUCUCCAAAGGUACGUAUCAUUACAUAUUAAAUGGACCAGACAGCUAAGGUAGGGAUGUGCUUAAGUGAUUGAACCAGAACCCCUAUGAGUACUGUCUUCUCAAUAAACCUGCAUCUGUUCACACGGAUUGAAACCAGACCGCUCGCAUUUCUGAGUACUGAAGCCUGAGGCCCCGUAAUGACAAGCCACAUUUGAGGAAGACCUGCACAACAGCCUUCUGAGGAGAAGUUCUGCUUUUGCGGAUCAUGAAGCCAUGACCCCUGUCCUGCUCGGGGGCUCCACUCACCAUGUGUGGGCCAGCAAACACCCGGGCUGGAGAGCGGCUACGGUUCUGUGCUGAGCCACCACAGCAUGAUACACAAGGGCUGGACCAGGGAGAGCAAAGCUGGGGAUCCAUGAAUGUGUCUCAUGCUCCCAAGCAUGAGACCUUACUGGCCUAUAAAUCGUGAGUAUUUAUGUGAGUAUCUAUUGUGAAAUGCCUAGACUGGGUUUCUUUUGUUGCCUUUUACUGGCUUCAGCAGUCAGGAUGUAUAGUUGCUCUUCUUUGUGAGGGAUAAGUGGAAAUAAUUGAUCAUCUUCUGAAAAAUCUCAUAUUUAUCUAUUCAGAAUAACUCUAGAUGAAUAUUCUCCAACAA